rnacentral:rRNA from 1 species
CUAGUACGAGAGGACCGGAGUGGACGAACCUCUGGUGUUCGGGUUGUGUCGCCAGACGCAUUGCCCGGUAGCUAAGUUCGGAAUCGAUAACCGCUGAAAGCAUCUAAGCGGGAAGCGAGCCCUGAGAUGAGUCUUCCCUGGCGCUUAAAGCGUCCUAAAGGGUUGUUCGAGACUAGAACGUUGAUAGGCAGGGUGUGUAAGCGUUGUGAGGCGUUGAGCUAACCUGUACUAAUUGCCCGUGAGGCUUAACCAUACAACACCCAAAGGGUUUUG